rnacentral:rRNA from 1 species
GACGAACGCUGGCGGCGUGCUUAACACAUGCAAGUCGAACGGAAAGGCCCUGCUUUUGUGGGGUGCUCGAGUGGCGAACGGGUGAGUAACACGUGAGUAACCUGCCCUUGACUUUGGGAUAACUUCAGGAAACUGGGGCUAAUACCGGAUAGGAGCUCCUGCUGCAUGGUGUGGGUUGGAAAGUUUCGGCGGUUGGGGAUGGACUCGCGGCGUAUCAGCUAGUUGGUGGGGUAGUGGCUUACCAAGGCUUUGACGGGUAGCCGGCGUGAGCGGGUGAUCGGCCACACGGGAGCUGAGACAGGGUCCAGACUCCUACGGGAGGCAGCAGUAGGGAACCUGCCGCAGUGGGCGAAAGCUUGACGGAGCGACGCCGCGUGAGUGACGAAGGUCUUCGGAUCGGAAAACUGUGUUAUUAGGGAAGAACAAAUGUGUAAGUAACUAUGCAGGUCUCGACGGUACCUAAUCAGAAAGCCACGGCUAACUACGUG